ensembl:lncRNA
AUGGGCGCCAUUUCCACCGGCGGGGGAGAGGUUAUGAGGCGGUGGCCGCGGGGGCUGAGGGGUGCGGGCGGGCACCGAGGCCGGAGCGGGAGAAGCCGCCGCUCGCCCCGGCCCAGCCUCCCCCACCGCGGGUGCCGAGGCACGGCCAUUACGCCCCCCAGGCCCGGCAGCAGCCCCCCCUCCGAGCCCGCCCGCCUGACGGUGCCCGCGGGCGCAGGCGCUGCUGCCGGCGCGAGGGGACGAGCGGCUCCGCCAGCGCGGGAAGGCGGGCGCGGACGCCGGACGUCUCCUCACGGCGGCGCCUCGCCCGGCCCCGCGGCUGCGCGCCCGCAGCCUCCCUUAAGGCUGGCCGGCAUGGCGCGGCUGCUGGCACCGCCGCCGCGGCAGGUGAUGGCUGCUGUCAUUGAGUCUGCAAGCUUUGAUGAGGAACAGCUGUCUAAUAAGAGAGAAACUAUGACCUGGAAGCCCAGAAAAGAAUGUCCACUGAAGAAUAUUCCAAGCGUUCUUGAUAGUGAAUCUGAAGAAAGUGAAUUUUCUGAUACCUCUCACAAUGAAAAUGUCAGUGGUUCUCCUGUUGACUGUGCUCAUAUACAUCCUGACCUGGAAGAUUUGGAUGGUGAAGUCUCUGGUAUGCCUGAGGCUGUAACUUUUCCAGAGCUGCAAACUGCUACUGUGUAUGAGGUGGAGGACUGGGAUAAAGAAUUAGAGGAGUCUGAAAGUAAUCCUUAUGAUGCUGGUGAUCUCCACUGUGGAAGCUUUCAGGAAAGUAAUCUUUUGGCCUCAUACUCAUGGCGAGAGGAUUCGUUUUACAACCCAGGCUGUCACCAUGCAGCUUGCCUUGUUUUUACGCCACCAGUUAGAAUGACUGAGACUGGCCAGUUUGAUGAUGCUGAUGAAUGAGGUUGACCCUGGUCAUAAACAAGUUUGGCUUCUGAGUUGGAUUAUGUUCUUCACCGUUUGAGUCAUGUCGAGUCCUUUGGCUUGCUUGCAGAGUUCUGCGUAAGGCCAGAAAUGCUACACCUUCUCUGAAGCUUUGCUUAGAGUGCUUCUGAGCUGGUUAUAAGUUGACUGUGCUUGACCUCUGGAAACAAGAGUGCAGGUGCUAGCUGUAAGGAGUCAUUGCAUUUCUGGACUUUUUGUUUGUAUUACAUAGAUUUAUGUUGUUGCUAAUUAAUUGCUUGAGAGGAAGUAUUUAAUUUCUAAACUUGAGCUUUGCCAGAUUUGACAUGUUGAUCCCUGUGUGUUCAUGUAACUUGAAGUUUUCUUUCCUCUUCAUUUGAUGCUGUCAAAUUGGUUCAGGUAGCUUUGAAAACUCCUUCCAGCAUCUCUGUUGUAUUUCUGUGUUGCCGUUUGUGAUUCCUGUCUAAUACUGGUGUUUAACAAAAUUAGCCAUGACAAAUACAGAAUGAGUUGUUUUGUUUUUAUUUUCAUGUAUUUCAGUAUAAAGGAAUUACAAAUACGUGGUACGCAUCUUGCAAAUACACAUGGGCACGUAGUAAGUUGGGCCUGCUGCUUCCAGUAGGAAUGCUGAGUGCUUAAGACUGCCUCCUGACAAAUAUUUCUCUACAUCAGACCUUGUAUAUGGGCGUAUUAUCCUUAGGCCUCACAGUUGUCUUUAUAACAGUCUCAUGCAACAUCGGACAUGUAGUGAUGAAGAAACUAUCUAUGCUUGUAUAAUGUCUUGCACUAUAUAAUCUCUGUGUCCUGCAGACAGUAGUGGAUUAAGGUUCCUGGUACUGCUGGUAUGUUUCUGGUGGUGGUGUGUUGUAGCAAAUGAGGAGAUGAGAAUGCAAAACACCUCCAUAAAGUCUCUAAGAGAAUAGCUGGAACUAGAACCAUAUCCUUCUUGCCUUUGCCUUGGAGUUAAAGGAAACGUUCUCAAAUGAAGUACCUAAGUGGAGUGAAUGGCUGGUCACUUGAAUAACAGCAAUCUUCAACUAAUGCUCAUGUUUCGUUAAUCACUUCUCUCCCAAUAAUUUUUUGAAGGCUUUGUUUUGACACUGACACACUGGAGCACAGUACUCAUGCUUGUUUAUUCUCAGGCAAGAAGUUAACAUUUAUCACUGGAAGACUUUUUUUUUUUUAAUAAUCUGUUGCAUGAGACUGAAGUAAUUAAUGCAUUAGUUUGGAAGGAGGAAGUGAAUGACAGUGAUAUUUGCGUAAUCUUUUCCUAGAGAGCAGAGGACAAGAGAUUGGAUGAGUCUUUUCUUCUGUUACCUUGCAAUUCCUGGUUAUGUCUAAGUACCCAGCAAUCAAAGCAGAGUGGAAGCCUGGUGUUGAGGUUGCAAGAAAGAGGGCCUGUUCUUUUAUUCUUAUGUAUUGGAGCGAUCUAGGGAUUAGUAUCUCCAUCCAAACGUACUUUGGCAUGCCUCCAGGACAUACAGCAGAAAGCACAGUCUAACAGACUGUUCUUUCCUUGCACAGCUAGAAAGCCCUAGCUGUGCUCUCUAAGGCACUGGACAUGCUUUUUUAUUUUGUGGCCUGCUGUGUGUCAGAGAGGAGUGCAGCUCUUGAGUCCUGCAUUAGUUAGAACACGCACUCCACCCUGUGGAACAGAAAUGAGAAUUGAUUAUGCUCAGCUUAUCAGGUUUGGAUACAUAGUAGCUUCUUUCUUUGACUGAGAAGACCGGAAUGGAACUAUGAGCAUGACUGUAACUGACUCAUCAGCUAGAGAAAAAUUGUUGAUUUGUGUUUAUAACUGCAUUAUUAAUAAAUAAAAAUUGAGUAGAGUACUGCUGCAGUAACAAUACACUAGGAAAUUGUGGAAGUUCCUCUGAAAAAGCACAGAUGAUUUUGUGAGCCUAUUUAUCAUUUCCCAGUCUUCAGCUGUAGAUGUCAAUGCUCAACACCACACUGCAGAGGGCAGCAAAAAAUUGUCUACCCUGCUCAGUGGAUUUUCGACUGGUGCUAAGUUUCAUCAGCCAGUGUCAGAUCCCCGAGCUGAUUUCUAGCAUUGAUAGGAGUUCAGAUCUGUGUUCUGCAUAGUCCUGUUGUUCCCCAGUGAGACUGAUUCAUGGCCCUGAUUAGUUUCUCUCUCUUUUUUUUUUUUUUUUUUUUUUUUNNNNNUUUUUUUUUUUUUUUUUUUUAUUUCAUUCUGAAGUUAUACUUACCGGACUGAAAAAUUUCUCCCAUGGCUGAGAAAAGAACAUCACUUGACUUCAGGCUUAAUAUAUUUUUUUAGUGUGCUUGUGGGAGAUGUCCCACUGUAUUUAAUAAAGAUAAAACUAACAGAAUUCUGUGGAGGCAAACCUGCCGUUUUUAGAAUUGUUUUAAAAGGAUAACCAAAAGGCCUUUAUAACAUUGAACAGGAUGAUCUUCUGCGUGGUUCCUAAAUUCCAUCAGUACCACAGUCUUCAAGCCAUUUUCUAUGCACUCUAUAAUUUUUCAGCUUGUACCUUUAAUUGCUUUCAGCAUUGUCUAGCUUGACUGUCUUGUUAUUUGAGGAGAAAUUGUCUUGAAUGGCUCCCUUGCCAAGCUGUUUGUGUUUUUAAUGAUUGUAAACAUAAAAGAUCUGUUUUCAGUACCUUUUAAGGUUAAAACUGACAGCACCCCCAACAGCUUUGGAUAAAACUUGAGGAUUUUAGAGCAGAGAUGGAUUGCCCUCUCUAGGGAUAUGUUGGCAAAUGUAACUUCAUUUGUCUUGGCCCUGCUUGUUAGGGAAGGGGCUUAAUGUAAAGCUUGAUCUGAAUACUCAUAAACUUCAGUGGGAUUAGAAAACCAGAUGCAGACUUCUCAGAAAGCAUCUCCCUGGAAGGAUUUGAAACCAAGCUCACAGAUUCCAAUGUUUCUGCACUACAGAGUGUUUCAAAUUCCAUAGUGAAUCUUGCACUGAACCUGUUUUGUGUUGACACAAGCAUGUCAUCCUAGGCAAGAAUAUGUUGCAAUUAAAAACAUAAGCUAACACAUAAGCCAACAAUUCAAGCCAAGAGUGUCAACCCUUCAGCCUGCUCAAAUUAUUUGAGGGAAAAGAGUCCCGUUACAGAAUCAAGAUCAUAAAUAUUUUAUGCACACAAGAAACGCAUUGGCAGUACAUAAAUUUUCCAACUAAUUUAUCAGUAGUGUCAAAGAUUUCUCAGUUAAUAUAUGUAUAAAAUAAAUGUGCAUAUAUAUCUAACAAGAUUUCCCCCUUCUAUACCUAUGGUGUAAGAUGCCAUUCAAAGGAUGGAAGGCUUUACUACAGGUUAGUAUGAUUACUGGGUUUAUAUUGUGAGGGAGGCUUGGUAGUGUGGCAUAAUAAUGGUGACUCAGGAGACUUGGGUACAGCACUGAAGUGCCGUUGCUUUUUUUCCCUUUUUACAGGUAGAGAUAAUGAUACCAGCCUGUUUGUAAAGUACUUCAGAUUCUCCGAGCAAGAAAUUUUUUCUAAAUAGUGAGGUGUUUGGAAAAACAAAACAGAACUUUGCAUUUUCUUUGAACAGGCCAGCAAAGAAAUGAAAACUUGCUUUGGGUGCAUCUGUUAUUUCCUUUGAGACCUAAAGGGAAUGAUUUGCAGGAGGAAAUAAUUGAAGGAAAUGUGUUCAUAUUUCCUGUUGAUAAGGUACAGCAUUUAAUUCAUACAUCAGAUUGAGAUAGUGGGUUCUUGCUCUUAUAUAACCACAAAAUCCAGGCCAUUUUAGUGUCUUUUAAAGACAUUAGUGCUUGACUUGUUGUUUUGUCCCAUCUUUUAACUAGUGUGC